CGUUACGAUGUCGGCCUUUAAGCGAGCAACGGGCGAGAGUUUACUGCAAACACUGGAAGCGAAAAUACAUUUACUUUGGUCUUUUCCAGAUCCCAUUUACCCGAGAGACUGGCGCCAACCGAGAGACCCAUCUGAUGCUCUUGCUGCAUCAAGUAGCAGCGUAGAUGAAGAUCUAGAUUUGGAUGUAGCCAACCAAUUUAUUUUAUCAUUAUUUAUGUUUUUAAUACCGUAUGUUGUUAAAAUUGUUUGUAUUUUCAUAUAUAUAUAUAUGAACUGUUUUGUAUUUAUAAUAUUUUAGCAAUAAUUCCUUCAAUGUUGUAGCCUAUUAUCUUAAGUUGCCUACGUUGUAAUCCUUUUUCUUAAUAAAAUCUUUAUAUUUAAUUUGUUUGGACAGAUUACCAUUUAUUUAGAACCUGUUAUGUUUGAGUAAAAACAGUCCUUUAGCCACUAUUCUGUUGUCUAUUAAAGGUAGAUAUGUAGUCAUUUAAAA